rnacentral:rRNA from 1 species
AGAGUUUGAUCCUGGCUCAGGACGAACGCUGGCGGCGUGCCUAAUACAUGCAAGUAGAACGCUGAAGGAGGAGCUUGCUUCUCUGGAUGAGUUGCGAACGGGUGAGUAACGCGUAGGUAACCUGCCUGGUAGCGGGGGAUAACUAUUGGAAACGAUAGCUAAUACCGCAUAAGAGUAGAUGUUGCAUGACAUUUGCUUAAAAGGUGCACUUGCAUCACUACCAGAUGGACCUGCGUUGUAUUAGCUAGUUGGUGGGGUAAGGGCUCACCAAGGCGACGAUACAUAGCCGACCUGAGAGGGUGAUCGGCCACACUGGGACUGAGACACGGCCCAGACUCCUACGGGAGGCAGCAGUAGGGAAUCUUCGGCAAUGGACGGAAGUCUGACCGAGCAACGCCGCGUGAGUGAAGAAGGUUUUCGGAUCGUAAAGCUCUGUUGUAAGAGAAGAACGAGUGUGAGAGUGGAAAGUUCACACUGUGACGGUAUCUUACCAGAAAGGGACGGCUAACUACGUGCCAGCAGCCGCGGUAAUACGUAGGUCCCGAGCGUUGUCCGGAUUUAUUGGGCGUAAAGCGAGCGCAGGCGGUUAGAUAAGUCUGAAGUUAAAGGCUGUGGCUUAACCAUAGUAGGCUUUGGAAACUGUUUAACUUGAGUGCAAGAGGGGAGAGUGGAAUUCCAUGUGUAGCGGUGAAAUGCGUAGAUAUAUGGAGGAACACCGGUGGCGAAAGCGGCUCUCUGGCUUGUAACUGACGCUGAGGCUCGAAAGCGUGGGGAGCAAACAGGAUUAGAUACCCUGGUAGUCCACGCUGUAAACGAUGAGUGCUAGGUGUUAGACCCUUUCCGGGGUUUAGUGCCGUAGCUAACGCAUUAAGCACUCCGCCUGGGGAGUACGACCGCAAGGUUGAAACUCAAAGGAANAUCAGCAUAAGGAAAGCCAAUGGGGUGCUGGCAAUGGUGAUGAGAGCCAGCGUCACAUUUCUCGAAAACAUGACAAGAAUCAGACCAAUGUAUAAAACAAUAUUGCUCAUGACCUGAAUCAAGCUUUCGUUAAAGGCUUGGAGGAUAUUAUCCAAAUCACUGGUAAAAUGAGACAGGAUAUCGCCAUCUUGUCGACGGUCAAAGAAAGAAACCGUCAACUGAGCAAGCUUACCAAAGAGGCCUUUGCGCAUCUCGUUGGUCGAUUCUGCAAUCACGCGCGUCAUGAGACACAUGUAUAUUACACUAGAGAUAAAUAGAACCAAAACCAGCAGGCCAAGAUUGACCAUGAUUCCUGAUAGGCUUUGCCAUACAAGUUCUGGAUUGCCAUUUUGAUAAGCUUGAACUAAAUUGGCUAGCUGCGUCACCGCUUGUCCAGAAAAG